CCUCUAAGACAGGGGUCGGGUGGGAGACUUACAUCAUCAGUUUAGUGGUUGGGACCCAAAACCUACAGACACAAUGCUGAUGUUCUGAGUGCAGGAGGCAAUUGGAGAUUUUUUCCACCUUUCCUUGAGAAACAAAUGCAUGCCUCAUGCAGCAGAUCAAGGUGGUGACUGUAUUUGCCAGCGUACCAGACACACAACUGCGUAAGGGAAAAGGAAUUUCUCCUGGAGCUGAUAAUUUCCAACAUGUUCAGCAACAUUUGUCUCUUGGGCUUCUGAAUAAGACCAGGAGGCAUAUGGGAUCUUAGCACGCUGACCAGGGAUCCAAACUGCACUGGAAGUUUCAACCACUGGACUGCCAGAGAAGUUCAUAAAAUGGUUGCUUUUAUAGUUUUGUGAAUUUUACCUCAAUUAAAAAAAAAAUUGCAUAAACACUGAAUCAUUUCUAAAUGUCCCGAAGGGCACGGCAGUGCUAUAUUCCAGGGCAGCCCCAGAGUCAAGGUCCCAUGGCACCUUGUACUGCACCUUUGGAUCAAGACUGGAGUCCCCCCAUGUGUAAGCAAGACCUCCAAGUGUCCUCAGAGACACUCAGCUGAGCACUAUUACCAACCAGCUGAGUGUGUGUAUUUUGGUUUGUUACUUCACUGGCUGAGUCCUUAACAAGGACUUCUGAAGGUGCUUAGUUUGAUUAAGGAUUUGAUAGUUCCAGAGGUGGAGCCUGGAGCAGGCUUUAUUUUUUCCUUUAAACCAGGGGGAUCUUCGCAGAGACAACAGCUCACAGCCUGCGGAUGGCGCCCCAGAUGCUCUCCUGGGCCAUCUGACUGUCCACUGGGACCCGUGGGGAGGAAGGAGGAUGAUCCCAUCCCAGAGGGCAGAAUCGGGGGUCAGUUUCUCUCCACUCCAGGCAGGUCCAGAAAAGGAGAAGACCAGUUGUGAAGAAGGGCGGGUGGACUUGUCCUAACAGCUCACAGUGUCUCAGGAAACAGUCCUUUUGUUGUGUCAGGGGAGGAACAGACUCGUGAACAAGGGCAGCACUUGAUACCUUUCCUUGUGCCUUCACAUAUACCGUUUCAUUCACUAGCCUAAGAAACAAACAUAGCUACCACCUUGGAAAAUAGCAACUCCGGGGGAAAUUCCUGUUCCCUUAGCCAGCAGUGGUCCAGUGAGCAAAGAAAGCCCAGUGACAAGCAUCCACUUGGGAAACUCUAGGUCCUGGGAGUUCCUCACCAAGAUGCCUUUCCUGGGAGAGAACCCCAUUCAGUCCAAAGAACUCCAACUCUGUUAGAAAUGUAAUCGACAGCAUUUACCAUCAAGCCAGAUCACUGAACCAGUUUGGACCAAGACAGCCUAGACUCAGCUGGAAUUGCAGAAUUCCCCAACAGACCCUGUUAGAACCCAGUGAAGGUGGCCCCUUAUUGUUUUUCUCAAUUAAAAAAAAAAAAAAAAAAAACAACCAAAACUAAGAAGCUUUCUGCAUGCUUUUAAGGCAUUUACAGCUGCCCAGAGAAGCAGGACUACUUAUGACUCCACUUAAUAAGCACCUGGCAAUCACCAACCUCUCUAAUUGCCAUGUGGGUGAAGAGGUGGGAAUUCAAACAAACGAAGGAGAUUUCGAAGUGUUACUGGAAGAUGAAAAAUGUGACGGAAGCGCCUAGGCAUGAGAGGCAAGCAGAGACACAUGCUUCUCUCAGGGCAGCAUAACCCAGAAAGCCGACUGAAGCUGAUGUGAACAUUCCCAGCAUCUGCCUCCUGGACACUUACACCGAAAAGAGCCGCAUCAACUGCUCAGAAAAAUGCAGGUACCACUGAGACACCCCAGGUACCAUGGCCUGUGUUGUUUCCUCAGGCAAAAGUUGUUGCUGGGAGACCCAGUGCCAAGAGUUUUGAAUGUCCGGUUCCUCACACCCCAGGCCUUCUCAAAAGGGAAAGGAGAUAAAACAUGGGGGUUCCCACAGCACUAUCAAUACCCUCCCCCUUUACAGAGAGGAAACUCUGGUUCAGAGAGAUUACAAGUAGAGAGGCAGGGCUAGGAUUCAGAGUGCCCGUAACUCUCACAGUCCAGAGCUCUUGGGUCCUCCAAGGAACGAGGCCUUCACUCUGGGCUCCUCUUCCGCAGGUUAGGAGUGGUAACUCAGUGCCUAACAUUCAGCUGCUGCCGACCAUCCUGACUGCUAACUACUCACACGUGUGCCUCCCUAGAGCACCCAGGACAGACACUCUCAUUUACCCCCGGCUUCCUGGGCAGGGUCCAGCUGACACUUCUCAGUGUUCCACACCCACCAACCUGUGUCUAUUCAAAAAGGACGUCGGGAUGUGAUUGUCCCACUUAUGUACAUGCCUUGGUUGUUUCCAGAGGCCUGCGUAUGACCUCAUGCAACCACCUGGACCCUCUGAGCAAUACCUUAAAUUGGCUUUUUGAAGAUUCUCAAGUCCCCAGAGUCAAUUUUAUUGAAACAAAAUACAAAGUGCCCCCAGGAAGGGACAGCCCUGUGAACUGUUAGUGGCUAGCAUUUGGCAGUACGUGGCAGCUAGCUGAGAAUCAGGCCCUAAGAAGUGGGAAAUGGGACUGGGAGGGGUUGGAGAGGGUAAAGAGAAAGAAGCAUGAGAAAGGAGGUGGGGAAGGUCUAGGCAGCCCACCCCCAGCAGCUCACCUUCUAAUUUUGCUGUAAGAGAUUCCCAGGGAGCUGUUCCCUGCUUCCCCAUUCCCAACAGAAAGACCAACUCUGCUCACGGAGCCAAAGGUAGAAAAGCCUAGAAGGAAAAAAAGAGAAGCGACAGAAAAGAUAGGAAGAAAAGACAGAAUAAACCAACCAUCAGAGGCUCUUCAAUCUUAAUUCAUUUUAUUCUACAAAAAGCUACUCAAUUGAAAGUGAAAAAGCUAACAAAAAAAAAAAAAAGGAAAAAAAGUUGUAAUAUGUUCUUUCUUCCAUAGCAGCAAGCUUUUUCUAACAAGCUUUCUUUAGUGCAAAUACUGUAGGCUUGUAUUACAGUAAAAUAACAAAACAACAACAAAACACCACCAGAGAUGCUUCAGAGC
ensembl:lncRNA